rnacentral:rRNA from 1 species
UGGGGAAUAUUGCACAAUGGGCGAAAGCCUGAUGCAGCAACGCCGCGUGAGCGAUGAAGGCCUUCGGGUCGUAAAGCUCUGUCCUCAAGGAAGAUAAUGACGUACUUGAGGAGGAAGCCCCGGCUAACUACGUGCCAGCAGCCGCGGUAAUACGUAGGGGGCUAGCGGUAUCCGGGAUUACUGGGCGGAAAGGGUGCGUAGGUGGUUUUUUAAGUCAGAAGUGAAAGGCUACGGCUCAACCGUAGUAAGCUUUUGAAACUAAAGAACGUGAGUGCAGGAGAGGAGAGUAGAAUUCCUAGUGUAGCGGUGAAAUGCGUAGAUAUUAGGAGGAAUACCAGUAGCGAAGGCGGCUCUCUGGACUGUAACUGACACUGAGGCACGAAAGCGUGGGGAGCAAACA